UUCUUUUUUAUAACAAUUGGCCCCAAUUAUACCCAUCGCCUCUAAUGCAAGUAAUAAACAACUUAAUCGUUAAUAUGCGAGGUUCUAAAAUUAAAAAUUUAGUUAUUUUACGUUUUCGGUUAAGUUCAUUUUUUUAAAAAAAUAUUAAUGAAGCGGUUCCAAAUAAUUAACCCUUUCUAACACAAGUGAUAAAACGUUUGAUAGUUAAUACCGAAUGUUUUAAAUUAGAAACCUAAUUUUUUACAUUUUUUUGGCGCACUACCAUUCUCUCCUUAGAAACA
rnacentral:lncRNA from 1 species